GACGAACGCUGGCGGCGUGCUUAACACAUGCAAGUCGAACGGAAAGGCCCUGCUUUUGUGGGGUGCUCGAGUGGCGAACGGGUGAGUAACACGUGAGUAACCUGCCCUUGACUUUGGGAUAACUUCAGGAAACUGGGGCUAAUACCGGAUAGGAGCUCCUGCUGCAUGGUGGGGGUUGGAAAGUUUCGGCGGUUGGGGAUGGACUCGCGGCUUAUCAGCUUGUUGGUGGGGUAGUGGCUUACCAAGGCUUUGACGGGUAGCCGGCCUGAGAGGGUGACCGGCCACAUGGGGACUGAGAUACGGCCCAGACGCCUACGGGAGGCAGCAGUGGGGAAUAUUGCACAAUGGGCGGAAGCCGGAGGCAGCAACGCCGCGUGCGGGAGGACGGCCUUCGGGUUGGAAACCGCUUUCGCCUGUGACGAAGCGUGAGGGACGGGAAUGGGGAAAGAAGCACCGGCUAACUACGG
rnacentral:rRNA from 1 species